ACAUAUAUGAUUUAGUUUAACAGAAAAUUGGACAUGGUAUUUAAUUAUGAAAAUAUAUGGCAAGGUAUGUAGCUCUGCUUGUAAGUAAACUUUGUUCACAUAGUUGUUCUGUAACCUCAGCUGGGCACCGUCUAUGAUCUAGCUAGUGCACUGGUUUGCUUACAGGUCCUGGAAUCUCAUACUUAAAGAUUUUUUUUCUGCUUAUACAUCAUGGAUCAGGUAGUGGCAUCUGCUGGCAGUGAGUGAUAUUGCUUUCUAAUCCUAUAGGCGGCCUGGCUUUUCAUAACAAUACAUCCCUGGAAAGCAGAUCAUCAUGCUGUUUUUGUGUGUGUGUGUGUGUUUUAGAAUGGGCAUAUGCCUGAAAAGAUAAAUAACAAAACAGAGUGGCGAAACAAUUUACACAUUGGCUGAUAUGUCACACGUGGAAGGAAGAAAAACUUUUAUUGUGAAUUUACUGUGCCCAUGUGGUGUCAUGUUCACAAACUGUCAGAGAGGUUAAGAGAUCAGCGAGGUUAAGAGACUUGACCAGGUUCACAGGCUGGGAAGGCAGGUAUCACAUAAAAUCUGUUCUUAAGUAGUUAGUGGUAAGUAGUUAGGAUGGCCUAGUUUGUGAGCAAAAAAGAAAGGGUAUUCAGAAAAGGAUUUGGGUGGCAAUGAACACUCUCAGUUUUUCUGGAGAGCAAUUUUCCCAUAUGCAUCGAAAGCCCUAAAAAUGUGCAUGUCAGUUGAUUAAGCAAUUUCAAUUCUGGCAAUUUAUUCUCAGGAAAUAAUAAUAGAGAUGCUUGAAGAGUUAUUAAUAUAUGACUAUUGCGUGUCUAUAUGUACAUACUAUAUAUGGCAGCAUUUACUAUAAUCCGUGAAAAAUAAAUGCUCUAAAUAACAACCAGUAGCAAAGAGUGGGUAACAUAGAUUAUAGUAUAUCCCUAUAAGGGAAUGAUAUUCAUUCAUUAAAAUAUGUUGUAUAGGGCUAUUUAUUGACAUGAAAAAUGUUUAUACCAUAUUAUCAGGUAAAAGAGCUGGUUUUGGGUGCUGUGUGAUGUCAUUUUCAAGUAAAACUCUAUAUAUGUCCAUGUGAAUUGUGUGGGCUUAUAAAGAUGUAUCAAAAUACCAACAGUGGUUACUUUUGAGAGAGAAGAUGACAGGUCACAUUUAUUUUCUUCAUUUCCUCAUCUCUAUUUUAUAAAUUUUUUAAGGGAAAACACAUUAUUUUAAAAAUGUAAAACAGUUUGUAUCUUAAGAAAAGAAUUACUAUGGUAACAAGAAGCAACUAAGGGGCCCACAUUACAGAGACCCAACAGGGAUGGAACUGGAGAGGGAGAAGUUUCUCCAGUGGGAAGUCAAUGGGAUGUAACAUUCAACAAGAUCUGGCAUUGGCCUGAGGAUGAUACCCUGCUAUGUCAGAAAGGGAGAGGCAAGAGGCACGAGGCACCUGUUCAGGUGCACAAGUCUCAUCAGAGAUGUUUAAACGGCAGUCGUGGUGCCUAGAGAGAGGCCAGGCACCAUGAUAUAUAAAUAAUGUUUGUCGCAGAGAAAUUGGUGGGCCGGGAAGGGAACUAAAGACAGGAAUUAGGGUUGGCUCUGGGAAGUGGAUGCAAACCCAGGGCAGUGGGGGAAGCAAGUCCAACUCAGUGUUAUCAAUUGUCCCUCCUUGGGAUAGUUCACAUUUCCCUGUGAUCAUGCUCCAGACCAGCUUUGUUCCCCCUUACAGCAACACACUCAGAUUUGGAGACUCAUUUGUUUUCAGAUAGAUGAAGAACAAUGUCUCAUAUACAAAAAGUUGCUUAAGGCUACUAAUGUACUUGGAACAAGUUGGGAAACAUACAAAUAAAACCAAAUCAUCAGAUGGAAUCGAUAUAUUUUUCCCCUACUUAUUUUUUCCCUAGGAAGCAAAGGUGCUUACAUUUAUGCCUUUGACUUCAAACAUGCCCCUACGUUUGGAUUGUUUUCAACAUCUAGAUGUUUUAAACCUUGAGAAAACUUUGAUCGUCAAGUUUUAGAGAGAAGAAGAACUUUAGAUCUAGAUCAUGUUGUGCUGCCAUGCCUGACUUCACAUUUUUAGAUCUCAGUUCUGUUGAGUGAGAGCAAGUGAGAUAAAGGUGGAGGGUCCGUUGGCCCUGAAACUCCAGGACUCUCUGGCCCUGAAACGUUGCUCUUAUUUUCAUUCCCAUAUUGUCUUUCAUGUCUACCCACCCCAGGCCCCCAAAUACAAGAGCAAUAACAGGGAAAUUCAGAAGGUCAGACUGAGGGAAGAGCUGGCUCUCUUCUCUUUUUCUGGAGUAUUCUACAGACUGACUGCAUGGCUAAAAGGAGCGUUUUCACAUUCUUUAUUCAUCUAUACUCAUUUAUUCAAGAAACACUGAAUACCCAGUUUGGUAAGUUCCAUUGAACUACGUUUAAGCUCACUGACUCCUUUGCUCUGUCCAGUCUAUAGAAAUCUCUGACCCUGCGCCCACCAGGACAGCCCUGGCGGCCGUGGGUCGACCUGGCGAGUGUCUGCUGCUGAAGGAAGACUGGGCCUUCGGUGGGCCCGUGAGCCAGGUCGGGACACACUGAAGAAGAGACACCAGGUGGAUCAUCAGGUCCAUGAGUUGGAACAUUUAGAAACUUUCUUCUAUCUCACUAUUAUGAACUAAAGGAUCUGUCAUCAUAUUUCCUAUUCUCUUCACCAACAAGAUAACUACGGAAUUACUCUUCAUCCCUGUUCCACUUCCUGUCCCCCUGUUUUCCUUUCUCUGGUCUGGUGGGAGGCCCAGAACUCAGUUUUGUGUACAUCUGAGAGCCUUCUAGUGGCUACUUCAGCCUGAACUCAAAUACCCCUGUCAGCAAGGAAGCCUGCUUCCUAAACCAGGGGUGGGCAACCCCUGGCACGCAUGCCAAACAUGGCACGCCAGUAACUUUUGCUGGCACGCGAAACCCUCUCUUACAAUCUUCCAUUUACAAUUUUUUUCU